AGAUGCACCAGCAGUGCUGUCGUUUGGACAACCUCUUUUGAGCUUUGAAAACAUUGUUCCUGGUAACAAGGUUUCAGUGCUGCCCGAUGCUCCAGAAGUUGCAUCGAUUCCCGAAAACCAGGAAAAUGUUGUGCCAUCUGUAGACUUCAGAGGUGAACCAGGUUUCUCCCCAGAAAUCCAGACUCCACUUCACAGAGCCAAGAGUUUGAGUACAAGACACUUGACUGGUUACUCGCCGCAGCAGUUUCUGGAUGAAAGGUGUCGA